AUGUCCCUGUUGAGGCAGUUUGGU
rnacentral:misc_RNA from 1 species